AAAAUAACUUUUUUCCGGUGUUUACAAGAAUUUGUAAUAAACGGCAAUAUUUUCAUGUUUAAAUAAAAAAGAAUUAGUGAUUUUCUCGUAUAUAAAAUAUCAUGUCUUUAAAAUAAUUCUCUUUUUAAUGUGUCGUUUGGCUGCAUUCGGCUUCAGCCAAGCGCUUGCACUCGAUGACAUGGAAUGUUGUUUACAUCUAAAAACGUGGCGACAUCAGCUGAGAUUUGCAGUGGAUUUACAUGCAUUAAGCAGGUUAUCUCUAGAGAACAUAGGGAUAACAUGUGAGACAAGGCAUCGUUUACCCCUUUAACGAGAAUAUGAGGACAAAAUAUCGGAAAAUAAUGGAAAACAUAGACAUCUGCACCAGCUCAGCUCCGUAGAUCCAGGCCAGCUGGCAAGAGCUUCAGGCUAAAAGAAUGAAUAAAUAAAAAAUACAUCAAUUUCUCCACAGGCCAGGGCCUAGCCAUUACCAAAAAAUUGGACCAAUGGAUCCAUUUAAGCAUGCAGCA